CAAGUUAUUGAAAGUUAUAUCCAUGUUGGAAUGUAUUCCUUUUAUUUUGCGUGACUUAUAAAGGGAAGAAUAAACAAAAUUACAUUUAUCAUUUUGCACCCAAGUGGUUUCUACGAUUGAAAAUGCGCUCACAGAAUGACAUGGCAUGAUUUUACUCCUUUCUAAGUAAGUAGUUACACAGUCCUCUAUUUGCACCUUUUCUCUGAUUGUCAACUGCAGACCCAAAAAUGCAGGCUCUGAUUAUUGUUAUUGUGCAAAAGAGACUGCUGAGCACAGGAAUGCAAGUUCAAAUAAUGGAAAUAGUCUGUAUCCAUCUUUUGUCUUUUUGUAUGUCAUUUCUUUCAGGUUCUCUUCUUGACAGAGUAGAAAGAGCUUAUUAUCAAUUAACAGUGAUGUAUUUUGUUAUGCUGUAUUUCAGUGCAUACAUCAAAAGACCAAUAAUAGAACCUGAAGGUUCUGGUCAAUAAUGUGAUGGAAACAACUGUUACAUUUCCCUGACUACCUUUUCACUUACAUAUAAUUUGUGUUUGUUUCUGGAAGGUGAGGUCUGGGUUUGAUAACAUCCAUGGCCAACCCAUGCAAAAUAAGAAACAGCAGACAAGAGCGUACUUUGACGAGCAAAAUAUUUGGGUGAAUUUCCUCCUGUAUAUUUGGAGAAGCUCAGGACUUGGAAUUCUCUGAAGCACAAACUAGCUCUUCUUCCUCUCCCCAGAGAACCCGUGACGUUUCCAUUAAUGAGUAUAAAAGUGAAGACUGGAUAAAUUGGCGAAAUAUCUUAAGUAAACCACAUGAAAUUGAAUGCAAAAAUACAAAUUAUGAUGUAUGGAUGGAAAAAUAUCACGUACAAAUAUAAAGAAGUGACCAUAGUAUUUACAGAGCAUGGAGAAAGGCAGUGGAGAGUCAUAAGGAGGGCAUUUGCGUCAAGGUUCUCAGGAAGAAUUGCAGAUGCUUUCAUUCCACAAAGCAUGUUGCCUGGACAAGUGUUCAGGAAUUUUUUGCCUGCUGGCCAUGACAACGCAUGAAGCUGGUAAGGUUUAUGUAUUGCGGCCAGGCAACAGAACAACUUCUCUGUCUCUCUCUCUCCAUCUUUCUCUCUUCCUUUCCCUCUUCCCAGUCUCAUUCCCACUGGGCAUUUCUUUUGAGUUUUGCUGCCAGAUUUCUCUCCUGCCAGGCAUUCUGCUUGUACAUUUCCAGAGCACUCUCUUUUCUUCUAAGUGCUGGCUUUUCU